rnacentral:tRNA from 1 species
GUCCCGGUAGUUCAAUGGAUAGAACAAAAGCCUUCUAAGCUUUGGAUCAAGGUUCGAUUCCUUGCCGGGAUA